rnacentral:tRNA from 40 species
GCCGCCAUGGUGAAAUUGGUAGACACGCUGCUCUUAGGAAGCAGUGCGAGAGCAUCUCGGUUCAAAUCCGAGUGGCGG